AUUCCCCUGCGGAGUGCGUGAUCAGCAGAUCGUUUUGGGCCAACACACACGAAGAGGGAGCCCUCCCUUGCUGCCGUGUGCCCGCCUCACUCCGGUGAGGACGCCUGACGCAGCAAAAGGGUACCCACCUGUUGAGGGUUGGGUUCAACAAGACUGCUGACACGGCUCAGGCGGGGGAACA
rnacentral:other from 1 species